rnacentral:misc_RNA from 1 species
AAGUCGUAACAAGGUUUCCGUAGGUGAACCUGCGGAAGGAUCAUUACCGAGUUCUUUGCCCUUCGGGGUAGAUCUCCCACCCUGUGUCUACAUACCAGUGUUGCUUUGACGGGCCCGUUUGGCUCUGCCGAACCGCCGGCUCCAGCUGGUCCGCGCCCGUCAGAGGAUCCUAAACUCUGAAUCAUGUGACGUCUGAGUGAGUACUAUACAAUAGUUAAAA